AUGUCUGAUGCUGAGUACCGGUACCUGUUAUUGAGUACCGGUACUGCAUCGGACUGGUACCGGUACCCUGUCACACCCCAAUAAUCUCAUAUCAGAUAGGAAUGAGGAUGUGAGUGGGUAUAUAAGAGACUUAGACACUAGUAAUAAUAACUGGGCUUAAGCAUUUUGAGCCGGUGGUUUUGGCCCAACAAGUUAUUGUUGCAAGUGGGCUAGGUCGUUACAUUUGGUAUCAGAGCCAAUCGCCAGCCGAAAAUAUAUGGCGAGUCUCGGCUGAGUAAGGGUCUGAAAGACAAU
rnacentral:lncRNA from 1 species